AGCUUUGCAAGAGAUCUUUCAUGCCCCAUCUGCCAUCACUGCUUCCGUCCUUGGUCCAAUCAAAUUCUUCUCCGUGACAGUUCUCCUAGCUUAGAGAGCUCAGUGAGCUGCAGAGGGGUCAUAGUUUGAAAAAAGAAAAUAGCUAAUGUUAACAAAUAGGGAGGAGGGAAGCGCUGAAAAAAAAAGAUAGGUAGGUACAGAGAGAGGGGAGUUAGAUGCUUUCCUUUGCAGGCACGAUCCCAACACUGCCGACAAGGUUAAAAGGUAGUAACAUCUGUCACCUGCCAACAACAGAUGUAUUUUUAUUUGCACAG